CACUAACGAACCAGAGAUGGAUUAGGUGCCCGAAAGGGAAAGUGGACACAGGUGCUGCAUGGCUGUCGUCAGCUCGUGUCGUGAGAUGUUGGGUUAAGUCCCGCAACGAGCGCAACCCUUGCCAAUAAUUGCCAUCAUUUAGUUGGGCACUUUAUUGGGACUGCCGGUGACAAACCGGAGGAGGGUGGGGAUGACGUCAAGUCCUCAUGGCCCUUAUGGCCAGGGCUUCACACGUAAUACAAUGGUCGGUACAGAGGGUUGCCAACCCGCGAGGGGGAGCCAAUCCCAGAAAGCCGAUCGUAGUCCGGAUUGUUCUCUGCAACUCGAGAGCAUGAAGUCGGAAUCGCUAGUAAUCGCGGAUCAGCAUGUCGCGGUGAAUACGUUCCCGGGCCUUGUACACACCGCCCGUCACACCAUGGGAGUGGGUUCCACCAGAAGUAGGUAGUCUAACCGCAAGGAGGACGCUUACCACGGUGGGGUUCAUGACUGGGGUGAA
rnacentral:rRNA from 1 species